UGGUUGUAUGAGUUAAACAACUGCCAUAAGAAACAGUUAUGUAGGGAAUAAAUUUCGAUGAAGUAAUUCGUGGUUUAUUUUAUUUUCAAUUAUACCGCUCUGCCGUAGCAUUGAGCACUCUAUCCGUGCGAUUUUGUUUGCGAUAGUUUCUAUUGCGAUAGUUUCUAUAGUCGGUUUCUAUUAUAGAAAAUACCCUAUGAGAAGUACCAACCAGGUUAUAGUAAAGAAGUAAAUUGUUCGUUUGCAAAAUUGAUGAGUCGAAGUCAUAUUCAGCUUUCCUUGAAUAGAUGACAACAGGCAAUUCAUGGCGCGCCGAUGUGGACAAAAAACUUUCAUCAUACUUUCACUUGCUUGAUAUUUAGCUUAUUAAAAAUAUAAAACAUUG